rnacentral:rRNA from 1 species
CCCCUAGAUGUUCUGGGCCGCACGCGCGCUACACUGAACAGUUCAACAAGUCUUAACCUUGGCCGAUAGGUCUGGGUAAUCUUUGAACGCUGUUCGUGAUUGGGAUAGACCUUUGCAAUUAUGGGUCUUCAACGAGGAAUUCCUAGUAAACGCAAGUCAUCAGCUUGCAUUGAUUACGUCCCUGCCCUUUGUACACACCGCCCGUCACACCUACCGAUUGAAUGGUCCGGUGAAAUCUCGGGACGGCGGCUUGGUCGCUUGCGUCCGACUGCUGAAACUUGAUUAAACCAUNUNAUUUAUNGGAAGGUGAANUCGUANCA